rnacentral:rRNA from 1 species
GCAUAUCAAUAAGCGGAGGAAAAGAAACCAACAGGGAUUGCCUCAGUAACGGCGAGUGAAGCGGCAACAGCUCAAAUUUGAAAUCUGGCCCUUUCAGGGUCCGAGUUGUAAUUUGUAGAGGAUGUUUCGGGUGUGGCUCCGGUCUAAGUUCCUUGGAACAGGACGUCAUAGAGGGUGAGAAUCCCGUAUGUGACUGGUAGCCUAUGCCCAUGUGAAACUCCUUCGACGAGUCGAGUUGUUUGGGAAUGCAGCUCAAAAUGGGUGGUAAAUUUCAUCUAAAGCUAAAUAUUGGCCAGAGACCGAUAGCGCACAAGUAGAGUGAUCGAAAGAUGAAAAGCACUUUGGAAAGAGAGUUAAACAGUACGUGAAAUUGUUGAAAGGGAAGCGCUUGCAACCAGACUUGCAUGUAGCUGAUCAACCGGUGUUCUCACCGGUGCACUCAGUUGCGUUCAGGCCAGCAUCGGUUUCGACGGUUGGAUAAAGGCCUUGGGAAUGUAGCUCCUCUCGGGGAGUGUUAUAGCCCAGGGUGCAAUGCAGCCUGUUGGGACCGAGGACCGCGCUUCGGCUAGGAUGCUGGCGUAAUGGUUGUAAGCGACCCGUCUUGAAACACGGACCAAGGAGUCUAACAUCUAUGCGAGUGUUUGGGUGUCAAACCCAUACGCGUAAUGAAAGUGAACGGAGGUGAGAACCCUUAAGGGUGCAUCAUCGACCGAUCCUGAUGUCUUCGGAUGGAUUUGAGUAAGAGCAUAGCUGUUGGGACCCGAAAGAUGGUGAACUAUGCCUGAAUAGGGUGAAGCCAGAGGAAACUCUGGUGGAGGCUCGCAGCGGUUCUGACGUGCAAAUCGAUCGUCAAAUUUGGGUAUAGGGGCGAAAGACUAAUCGAACCAUCUAGUAGCUGGUUCCUGCGA